GAUGAACGCUGGCGGCGUGCCUAAUACAUGCAAGUCGAACGAUGAAGCCGGAGCUUGCUCUGGUGAAUUAGUGGCGAACGGGUGAGUACCACGUGAGUAACCUGCCCUUGACUCUGGGAUAACUGCGGGAAACUGUAGCUAAUACCGGAUACGACCCUCGGAGGCAUCUCCUGGGGGUGGAAAGAAUUUCGGUCAAGGAUGGACUCGCGGCCUAUCAGCUAGUUGGUGAGGUAAAGGCUCACCAAGGCGACGACGGGUAGCCGGCCUGAGAGGGUGACCGGCCACACUGGGACUGAGACACGGCCCAGACUCCUACGGGAGGCAGCAGUGGGGAAUAUUGCACAAUGGGCGCAAGCCUGAUGCAGCAACGCCGCGUGAGGGAUGACGGCCUUCGGGUUGUAAACCUCUUUUAGCAGGGAAGAAGCGAAAGUGACGGUACCUGCAGAAAAAGCACCGGCUAACUACGUGCCAGCCGCCGCAGUAA
rnacentral:rRNA from 1 species